AGAGUUUGAUCCUGGCUCAGGACGAACGCUGGCGGUGCGCCUAAUGCAUGCAAGUCGAACGAGCGACCCGGGCUUGCCCGGUUAGCUAGUGGCGGACGGCUGAGUAACACGUAAGUAAUCUGCCCCGAAGAGGGGGAUAAUCCAGAGAAAUCUGGCCUAAUACCCCGUACCUUCCUCUCCAGCCUGCUGGAUUGGAAGAAAGGUCUAGGCCGCUUUGGGAGGAGCUUGCGGCUUAUCAGGUAGUUGGUGGGGUAAUGGCCUACCAAGCCGAAGACGAGUAACCGGUGUGAGAGCACGAUCGGUCAGAGGGGGACUGAGACACGGCCCCCACUCCUACGGGAGGCAGCAGCAGGGAAUCUUGCGCAAUGGGCGAAAGCCUGACGCAGCGACACCGCGUGGAGGAUGAAGGUCUUAGGAUCGUAAACUCCUUUUAUCAGGGAAGAGAAAGGACGGUACCUGAUGAAUAAGGAUCGGCUAACUACGUGCCAGCAGCCGCGGUAAUACGUAGGAUCCGAGCGUUGUCCGAAUUUACUGGGCGUAAAGAGCGCGUAGGCGGUUUGUUAAGUCUCAUGUGUAAUCUCCCGGCUCAACUGGGAGGGGUCAUGGGAUACUGGCAGACUUGAGGAUAGCAGAGGAAAGCGGAAUUCCCGGAGUAGUGGUGAAAUGCGUAGAUACCGGGAGGAACACCAGAGGCGAAGGCGGCUUUCUGGGCUAUUUCUGACGCUGAGGCGCGAAAGCGUGGGGAGCGAACCGGAUUAGAUACCCGGGUAGUCCACGCCCUAAACGAUGGAUACUAGAUGUUGGGGGUAUAGACCCCCCCAGUGUCGAAGCUAACGCGAUAAGUAUCCCGCCUGGGGAGUACGGCCGCAAGGCUAAAAC
rnacentral:rRNA from 1 species